UACGGAGGGUGCAAGCGUUAUCCGGAUUUACUGGGUUUAAAGGGUGCGUAGGUGGAUUAGUAAGUCAGGGGUGAAAUCUUCAAGCUUAACUUGGAAACUGCCUUUGAUACUAUUAGUCUUGAAUAUCCUGGAGGUGAGCGGAAUAUGUCAUGUAGCGGUGAAAUGCUUAGAUAUGACAUAGAACACCAAUUGCGAAGGCAGCUCACUACGGGAUCAUUGACACUGAGGCACGAAAGCGUGGGGAUCAAACAGG
rnacentral:rRNA from 1 species